GGGUGAGGACACACCGUCUUUUGCCGCAGAAAACAGUACAGGAAAUCUGGAAAUGUUUAAUGGUGUAUUUCUCUAAGACCUUCUACGCUAUAAAGACAUUUGCCUGGCACACAGAGCUUAUCUUGCUGCCAAGGCAGUGUCAGAAUCAGGUGCGAUGCAAUGUUCCUAGGGUACAGCUGGGGCGGCUGCUGCAAAGGAAGGGGCAAAAUGCAGUUCUGUUGGCGGGUCUCUUCACAUCCCGAGCAAAUCAUCCCUCUGAAUCAUGCAACCGUGCGUGCAGUGAAAUGUUGCUCAGCAAGAAAGAGUGAAAGGAAUUAGCUUCAAGGAUUUUUCUUUCCCAUCUCAGUAGAAAAAAUAAUCAGGAUGGCUUCAGGAAGCAGAAAAAACUCUGAAGUAGAAGCUCAAAACCCACUUUGCCCUGAAGGUGGAGUUUUCAAGCAUGGAUUCUUCAUCAAGUCACCACCUCUUCAUCUUUUCAACUCCAAGAAUUCCUGGAAAAGGCGUUAUUUCAUCCUGUCCAAAUCCAACAAGGGCGAUUACAUCCUGAAGUACUUAAAAGGAAUGUGCAUGAAAGGCUCCAUAGCUGUUGAUCAGAUCGUAAGUGUAGAAAUCGGCAUAAGUAAUUCUGAAAUAAUGGCAACGGUGAGGAAGAUGUUCAGAUGCUUUCCAGAAGAGGUGAUAUCCAUCACUACUGAAAACAGAUGUUACUACCUCGUUGGGAAGAGCAGGAUGGAAAUAGAGGAUUGGGUCACAGCCAUAACUUCCCUCAGGGAGGCCAAAAGAGGUGGAUGCUGUCCUCAGAACCAAGAUCUGGCAAAUGCAGAAGUCAAAAGCCGAUCCUUCUCUAUGCCAUUGUUCUCAAAUUCUGUAGAUACGACUGAUUCUCUGGGAAGGCAAAGCUACCUGAAGGAUGAUGGUCCUUCAGAAGAUAAGAACAGGCCAAAUUCAGAUCCUGGCCCUCAUCAGGCUCAGAGCGACUCACCACAAGGAGUUUUUCAAAGACUGGAUAAAGAUCUGGGAAAGACUGAGGAAAAUCUGUCGUCAGAUUCAAACGAAGAUCUCAAAAAGGAAGAAGAACCUUAUUACCAAACUCCCAGCAGUCUUUUAGCAAAGUGCAAUAGUGAAAUAUCGGAGAUUGACCCUACAGCUGAGCCUGAUAUCCCUGUACAAGAGAAGCCAUGGCAAAGGCAACCAGUAAAGGAGAAUGCUUACGUGUCAAUGAAGUCACUUAGGUUAACGUGUAGACAUGACAGGCUCCAUUCUCCUCCCCAAAGCCUGGAAAACAGUGCAAGUCCAAGCAACUUGGAAGCAGACACAGACGUAAAACUCCCCGAAAGCACCACACAGCAGUCAUUCCUCAAAAGAAGGCAAAACUCAUCACCACUUUCAGUGGUUCAGUUGUCUAUACUGCUCAGCCAAGUUACAGAUAAAACACAACUGCAAGAGUUGGAUAUUUUGGUCCCACUGGCAGAUAUUAACAGUUACCUAAAACUUACUGAAGCAGCAGGACAAAUAUGUGUCUCACAGUGGACUGGUCCUUGCCGACUGGGAUGUUUAUUUAACCACGGAGAUCGUAUAGUGGCUGUGAAUGGUCUACACCCACAGAACAUGGAGGAGGCUUCCUUGUUCAUCAGCAGGUCCACACAAAAGGAGGUGAAACUUACUGUGUGUAGGAUUCCACAUUCAGAUACCUUCCAUGCUAAAGGCUGUUCAUGUCACUGAAAAAAAGACGUCAUUGAUGAAGUGAAUCUGGCCAAAAGACGACAUUUGUCUGGCUUCCAGCUAAGGUAGUCCAAAUCAAGAAACUACACUUAUUAAAAUCAGAGUCACUGCCACUGAACUCCAGUACCAAGUUUGACAAAGUUUUGUUCAAAAGCCUGUUUGUGCUGAAUUCUCCAUAAAGACAGAAGGAAAUCCCGGUUCUGGAAUAACAGAGACUGAGAAUGGAAGAGAAGUGAUUCCUCAGGAGCUCUCCUCCAAAGUUGCUAUGUGAUUCCUUCGCUCCAGGCUGUUUUCCUGAGCCUAACAACUCUGUUUGCACCUAUGGAGUCUCUGUGGGGUGGGGUGGCCAGGACAUCACCGCACGGCGCUGCUUCCAGCUCCGUAACCAUCUGCCUGCUGGGCAGACCUCUAGGCUAGAAUCCUGAAAUCACAGGUCGUGUAGGUCACAAGUAUCUGCUGAUGGCUCUCACUUAACCUUUCCUGCCUGAGGUUUGCAGAAACUCUUCUUCUGAACUGUAGAAAACGUGAAGCCCUCCUGCCUCGUUCCAAGACUUAGAUCUCUGCAUGAUUAGGAUUUUUCUUGCUGUUUUCAGUGGGGAAGGGGAAUGCUUUAUUUUCUACUGUGCGUUUUCUUUCAAUAUUUCUUUCUUUUUUUUUUUUUUUUUUGGAAACGUUUCCCAAAACCAUUCACGUGUCACUGACCAGCAAAACAAAUGCCUCCUUUUCCAGUCAUGAGCCAACAAAGAGGUGAGACAGCCUUAAAGCAACUUCCUGAAACUUUGUGAGAAUCGUUUCUAAGAAGAGACAAACAAAGAGGAGCUCCAAACCGUAUGUGGUGGUGAGAGAAAAAAGAAGCCACCACCCUGGAACUUGCAUAUGACAUUGCUGCUGAAGCAGACUUUGAGUGACACACAUAGCGCCUCUCAGCCAUGGGAGAGCAUUACUUUUGGACCAGAAUGGGCUGUGAGUAGAGAUAUCGAGCACAAAAGGAUCCCAGAACAUUUCAGAAAGCAAGAUAAUUAUUUCUGUACUUCUAUAAGCAGUUACUGAAGCAUUACAUCAAUUGAUUAUUAUGUCAAUUUGCACAGCACUAAAUGCAAAUGAUGAAUGUUUACGCAAUGUCUGAUUCACAACACUUGCUAGACAUAUAACAUGGAAGUUACAUCGGUACAGUAAAUUCUGGUAGGAUGUCUGAAGUUGUCUGUGCGUGUGUAAUUAAUAAAUGCAUUACCACUUUACAACA